UACGUAGGGUGCGAGCGUUAAUCGGAAUUACUGGGCGUAAAGGGUGCGCAGGCGGUCUUGCAAGUCAGAUGUGAAAGCCCCGGGCUUAACCUGGGAAUUGCGUUUGAAACUACAAGGCUAGAGUGCAGCAGAGGGGGGUGGAAUUCCGCGUGUAGCAGUGAAAUGCGUAGAGAUGCGGAGGAACACCGAUGGCGAAGGCAGCCCCCUGGGCUGACACUGACGCUCAGGCACGAAAGCGUGGGGAGCAAAC
rnacentral:rRNA from 1 species